rnacentral:rRNA from 1 species
CAGCCGCCGCGGUAAUACGAGGGGGGCAAGCGUAGUUCGGAAUUAUUGGGCGUAAAGGGUGCGUAGGCGGCUUGACAAGUCUUGUGUGAAAUCUAUGGGCUCAACCCAUAGUCUGCACGGGAAACUGUCGGGCUUGAGAAUGGGAGAGGUGAGUGGAAUUUCCGGUGUAGCGGUGAAAUGCGUAGAUAUCGGAAGGAACACCUGUGGCGAAAGCGGCUCACUGGACCAUUUCUGACACUGAUGCACGAAAGCUAGGGGAGCAAACAGGAUUAGAUACCCGGGUAGUCCCUGUCUCUUAUAC